rnacentral:rRNA from 1 species
UGAACGCUGGCUGCAGGCUUAACACAUGCAAGUCGAGGGGAAACGACGGGGAAGCUUGCUUCCCCGGGCGUCGACCGGCGCACGGGUGAGUAACGCGUAUCCAACCUGCCUCUGACUGAGGGAUAACCCGUCGAAAGUCGGCCUAAUACCUCAUGGUAUCGUCUGCGGGCAUCCAACGACGAUUAAAGAUUUCAUCGGUCAGGGAUGGGGAUGCGUCUGAUUAGCUUGUUGGCGGGGUAACGGCCCACCAAGGCUACGAUCAGUAGGGGUUCUGAGAGGAAGGUCCCCCACAUUGGAACUGAGACACGGUCCAAACUCCUACGGGAGGCAGCAGUGAGGAAGAUUGGUCAAUGGGCGAGAGCCUGAACCAGCCAAGUAGCGUGCAGGAAGACGGCCCUAUGGGUUGUAAACUGCUUUUAUGCGGGGAUAAAGUGAGGGACGUGUCCCUCAUUGCAGGUACCGCAUGAAUAAGGACCGGCUAAUUCCGUG